UUAAAAAAUAAAAGAAAAAGAAUUGGAGGAUCUUCGAGCUUGCUAUUCCAUGGCUGCUGCUCUAUGAGCUACGGCUGCCCUUUCUACCUCAGCAUCAGCCCACUACUCAUAAGCACAUGCAAAGCUGAGCAACGGUGGACAGAAAAGAAGAGAGAAGAGAAGGGGAGGUCGGCAUCGGGUACAGAAAGAAGACGAGCAAAAGAAAUGGGAUAUGUUAGUCUUUGGGUAGAGAUAGAAGACAGACAGAAAAGAAAACGUGGUUUGAGA
rnacentral:misc_RNA from 1 species